UUUAAUGAGAGUUUGAUCCUGGCUCAGGACGAACGCUGGCGGCGUGCCUAAUACAUGCAAGUAGAACGCUGAAGAGAGGAGCUUGCUCUUCUUGGAUGAGUUGCGAACGGGUGAGUAACGCGUAGGUAACCUGCCUGGUAGCGGGGGAUAACUAUUGGAAACGAUAGCUAAUACCGCAUAAAAUUGAUUAUUGCAUGAUAAUUAAUUGAAAGAUGCAAUUGCAUCACUACCAGAUGGACCUGCGUUGUAUUAGCU
rnacentral:rRNA from 1 species